UCAUCCAAUUUUGUAAAUGAAGACUGUAGUGUCUGCCGGUUUCUUAGUAAUGCCAUCAUCAUUAUUACCUAUUGAAUAGUAUUGAAAAACUCAGUAAUUAUUUCACAAAGUUUCUGUGGUUUUUAAAUUUGGUGCACCCUAAGUUCCUACAAAUUCAUCUAUUUUUUCCUCAUGUAUAAUUGAGACUUUGGCUGGGUAUAGAAUUCAAAAAUUAAAAUUAUUGAAGCAUUACUCUAUCGUCUUCAUUGUAGAUCAUCAUAUGCUUAGUAUCAGUUUCAUUUUCAUUCUCUUCUUAGAUAAUAUUGCUGUAGUUGUUUCUAUUCAGGAGAAUUUUUACUCUAUUCUUGAGUGCAGAUAUGCCAGCAGCCAAUGAUUGUGUGUUCAUCUUUUUAUGCGUUUGUUCCUGUUGUCACUUUUAUUCUAAAAUUGGUGUCUUUCUUUUACUUAUGCCUAUUUCCUCAUAUCCAUUGAUUCAUUUUUCUCUUUUUAGAUUUCCUAAUAAAUGCACAAUAAAUAUUUCAGAUCUCAGCUACUUUGUGGCUUUUCUGCUAUAGCAACAUUUGCUAAGUUUUAUUUGGCAACCACAAUUUUAAUAAGCUUUUAAAUUUUGGAAUAAUUUUAGAUUUAAAGAAAAGUUGAAAGUAGUAAGGAAAGUUACUGUGUACUUCUCACCCAAUUUU
rnacentral:lncRNA from 1 species